UACGAGGGGUGCAAGCGUUGUUCGGAAUGACUGGGCGUAAAGGGUUCGUAGGCGGGAGGACAAGUUCAGUGUGAAAUCCCCGGGCUUAACCUGGGAACUGCAUUUGUGACUGCACGGCUAGAGUGUGUCAGAGGGGGGUAGAAUUCCACGUGUAGCAGUGAAAUGCGUAGAUAUGUGGAGGAAUACCGAUGGCGAAGGCAGCCCCCUGGGAUAACACUGACGCUCAUGCACGAAAGCGUGGGGAGCAAACAGG
rnacentral:rRNA from 1 species